AAGACGACGACGCCGACGACGACGACGACGACGACGACAACUAUGACGACUACCGGCGUCGGAAGUGGGGGGAGGUUGCGACUCCUGUUGACAAUCUUUGUUUCAGAAUCACCGCUGGGAUCGAGAAAAGGAAGAGAAAACGAAAAGAAAAGAACGGAAGAAAAGCGAUUGCAACUCGGACGGAUAAAUCGCGAACGCGGGGGUGUGCUUGAGAGCUUGCGGGCCAAUCGAAAUUACUCGCGCCGAGACGCGGCGGAAGACGUAGUGGGAGGUCGACGGGGGUGAGAGCACAGAGCGGAGCAACCAGGGCCGUACUUUUAAGCACGAGAGUGGGGGUUCUGGAUCAAUGCCGAAGCCACGCCUCCUCCGUCUUACAUCUUGCACCCCGUGCCACCCCCCCCAGCUCCGUGUGGGCACCUUCCUUUCCUUUUGCUUUUCCACCCUCUUCCCUAUCUUCAUGGAAACCCCGUGGAAAAUCCGCCCCGGGCACGCGAAUGUAUCAGUGGAUGAAAAAACUGCGCGACGCACGAGUCUCGUCGAUAACGCUGCCGUGCUAUCGCGAUAGCACGAUAAUUAUAACGAAGGAACGCGUGUACCAGCCGGGAAUCCCCCGGCGGAGGAAGAAUAUAUCUCGGCGGAGAAGCGGAGAAUAGCUGAAAAUGAACACGAAAAUACAAUUACAGAGACAUGUGUGUAUAUCUGAGUAGGUUCGUUGUAUUUACGCUGAAAUCUACGUGAUUCUAAUAAUAAGGAGCGGAAACGAUUAAUGUGUACGACGAAGUCCAGAGUUUCCGAAAUAAAAAGAAAAUUA